CCUAGACCUAACUGAUGAAGCAUCGCACCCUCACUGUUCACCAUCUCCUUCACUGAUUCAAUCCCCAAUUCAACCUCAACUCGCCCGAGUUCACUCAAAUGGUCCCCUCCCCUCCAUGUCAUUUGAUUCCCAACGUUUUUUUGUCAGAAAGAAUUCGAAUAUUCCCUCAAAUCGCAUGAUUUCUGUACUAUAGGAACAAUUUAUUCGAUGAAUGGGAGCCAUGGAUAGAUGUAAAAAAAUCCACGCCCUCCAUUUGUCCCAAAAAUUGUUCAAAGACCUGAACAUAUUUCGGAUUUUAGGGCAGAUUUUUUAAGAUUUUGAAGGCUAUAUAUAUUCGAGGUAAGUCUGUGUGCUAGGUUAGAGAAAAUAUUGGGAAAUAUCUUCAGAAAAAUUGAGUCGAGUUUCUAGGGUUUGAAGUGGUCAUUUUCUUCAAGCCAUUUUUCUUUAGCCUGCUUCUUUUUUUAGAAAGAUAAAAGAAACAAAAACAACAAAAUGGUUUAAGUUCGAUUUUGAUUCAAUCUUUUUAGUUCAUUUUCGGAGAAAAAUCGAAGAAAAAUCAGAGACAAUUUCCGGAGUUUGGUAGUGAAAUUCCUAAUCCUCAAAGCUUUGGAUUCGUGUUCGAGUUCUAUUGAUCUUUGCUGCUGUAUUGCUGAGCUCCUGAAUCAUUCUUCUUGUUAUCAUUUUCCCUCUGUAUUUCGUUUUCUAUAUCAAGGUUUUGGUUGUCAGCAUCAUGCACUUCUGAUGAACAACAUCUUGCUUUCUCUUGGGUUAAAAUUUGUUGGAGAGGGUAGUUAAAGGAGCAUGAAGCCAGUGAAUGUAUUGAUUGAAAGUUAAGGACAUAGAACGUGAUGCAUAUAAUGUUAAAGACAAGAUUGAUUUCAAGCCCUGAAAUGUGCUGCAUAUAAUGUUAAAGGCAAGAUUGAUUUCAAGCACUGAAAUGUGAUGCAUAUAAUGUUAAAGACAAGAUUGAUUUCAAGCAAUGACAAAGCUAAUAGCCAAGAAUGGUUCAUGAGCCUUGUUGUGUAUCACAUUAGUUGCAUAGCACCUUUCAUAUGUAGAUGUCAUUUUUUUAGAGAUUUGGAAGUGAAUCCUUAUUCUUUGAUAAUCUUUUAAUGUGAAUGACAACAGUGUUUGCUCUUUUCUCAGUCUGUAUCUUAUUAUGUCAAGCUGUGCAGAAUUUAUUGAAGGAAAAUUAAUGGAUUUCCUUAAUCGAA